GCCUAAACACCUGCACAACCCUUUCUUUAUCAUACCACCUUUGUUUCUUAUUUUAUCGACUUUCUUUUCACUUUCUCAUGCUCGACAAAACGACACCGCUGAUCUGCAACAAGACGGAGUUGAGAAUAAUUCCAUGAUUUUAGCUGCGAAUCAGACA